GAUGAGGUGACUGAGUGGUUAAGGUGCUGAACUGCUAAUCCAUUGUGCUUUGCACUCGUGGGUUGGAAUCCCAUUCUCGUCG